CAUAAAUUCUUAUUCAGCUGUUUGGAUCAUUUGAACAAACUGUGAAGCUAGAAAGUGUGUGUGAGCUGAUGUGGAUUCAGCAGCAUGGAUCAGUGUGAGGACAGAGAGGAGGGAGUCCCUCCCUCUAAAACCACUCUGUGUGGGGAAGAUGAGAGCCAGAGCAAAGGUCAGAGGAUCCAUCAGAAACGCAAACCAGAACCAGAACCAGAACCCAGCUGUGUGUCCUUUAAGAGUGACAGGUCAAUGGAUCGUU